UACGUAGGGGGCAAGCGUUGUCCGGAAUCAUUGGGCGUAAAGAGCGUGUAGGCGGCCCGAUAAGUCCGCUGUGAAAGUCCAGGGCUCAACCCUGGAAUGCCAGUGGAAACUGUCGGGCUGGAGUCCGGAAGAGGCGAGUGGAAUUCCUGGUGUAGCGGUGAAAUGCACAGAUAUCAGGAGGAACACCAAUGGCGAAGGCAGCUCACUGGGACGGUAUUGACGCUGAGACGCGAAAGCGUGGGGAGCAAACAGG
rnacentral:rRNA from 1 species